rnacentral:rRNA from 1 species
GUGUCAGCAGCCGCGGUAAUACGUAGGUGGCAAGCGUUAUCCGGAAUUAUUGGGCGUAAAGCGCGCGUAGGCGGUUUUUUAAGUCUGAUGUGAAAGCCCACGGCUCAACCGUGGAGGGUCAUUGGAAACUGGAAAACUUGAGUGCAGAAGAGGAAAGUGGAAUUCCAUGUGUAGCGGUGAAAUGCGUAGAGAUUAGGAGGAACACCAGUGGCGAAGGCGGCUUUUUGGCCUGUAACUGACACUGAGGCGCGAAAGCGUGGGGAGCAAACAGGAUUAGAUACCCCCGUAGUCC